rnacentral:lncRNA from 8 species
GUUUGUGGGUUCGAUUCCCACGGGGGGCCAUGUAUGAAAUGUAUGCAUUCACUACUGUAAGUCGCUCUGGAUAAGAGCGUCUGCUAAAUGACUAAAAUGUAAAUGUAAUGUAAAUGGUUUGGCCGGGGUAGGCCGUCAUUGUAAAUAAGAAUUUGUUCUUAACUGACUUGCCUAGUUAAAUAAAUAAAAUAAAACAAUUCUUACACCUAAAUUCAGCUUGCCAAAGCCACAAUGUAAAGUUUUUCCCAAUAAACCUGGCACUGUCAGAAAGAGUGUAAUGAUGAAUCCUGUCUAUCGCUGUUUGUAGGAGUUUGUCAAAUGGUAGUGCUCACUGUUCAUCCGUUUCGUUGCCGUGCUGGUGGAUCCUGACCCUAUUAUCGCUAGGAGCCCAGAACAAAGAGAGGAGGGUAAGGAUCUAUAAGUUCCAGCUGCAGCACUUCAGACACCUAGUGCUUUAACAUCACCAUCAAGAUCACCUAGAACAUCCUAGGAAAUGUCAGUUAGUUGCAACAUCUGAGUUCAAAUGUAUGCUUUGUGGAUGGGGAGCUGCCCCUGGAAUGUGAUGGGGCGGCGGUGCUAGCUGAGACCUUUUGGGAUCCUCAGCCUCAAGGAGAUCAAGCCGUCAGCGCUGAGUGGGGCGGCAGGGGCUGGUGGCAAACGAGUAGAUUGCCAUGACCAAGGUGGACCAGAAGAAGGUGGUUUCAUAGGUACGUUAAACUUUGAAUAUU